AUGGUUAAGCCGCACACGUGUCCAACCUCUACGGACAUCUAUCAAGAUCUAUCUCGAACUGAUCUUCUCAUAGUAGAUUCUUCUUUUUCAAAUAGAAUCUCAAUCUUAGAACUUAGAUCAACUCUUUGAUCUAGACUGCAGGAUCAACUCCUUGAUUUGCAGUCUUCUUCUUCUUCUCCUCAUUCUUCACUCUUAAAGAAAAAUCACCUCUACCUUUUGGCAUGUGGAAAGUGGGAUGCCCAACCCUUGGACGUGGAAGAGAAGAGAGGGAGGAGGGGAG
rnacentral:lncRNA from 1 species